rnacentral:rRNA from 1 species
AAGCAGCCACUCAUUCAAAGAGUGCGUAAUAGCUCACUGGUCGAGUGAUCCUGCGCCGAAGAUUUCCGGGGCUAAAACUUACUACCGAAGCUACGGCAUCAGUAAUGAUGGGUAGGGGGGCUUCCCAGACGGGUUGAAGCAUGACCGUAAGGACAUGUGGACAGUAUGGGAGUGAGAAUGUUGGCAUGAGUAGCGAGAUGUGGGUG